UUUAGUUUUAAAGCCUAUUUUUUCAGCCUUUUUCUUGCGAUCUUUGUGGGCGAGCAUUUCAAAGAAAAGUGGAUUUAAGAAGACACAAGGAAACUCAACACACAGAGAUUCGAGGUAAUCACAACAGUCACGUGACAAACUCUCCCUUAUCCUUUCCAGGAUUGCAUCAGCUGCACAUGUUUCAGCCACAGAUUCCGUUAAGCUCAUUGAGAAAACCAAUGUAACCGAAUCUCUGAAGAAUUGAAUAUUCUUAAAUGUUUUCUUCUGGUGGGAAAAUUAGAUGUUGUCUUCUGUCACAUCUUUUGAUGCUAAAAUUUAUCUGAUUGAUUUCAAAAAGUAAAUAACAAGCUGAAUUUUAGCAAAUACUCCCAAAUGUGCUCUAGCGGCUCCAAACGUAUAUAAUUCUUCUAGUUGCUCCAAAAAUUGUACAAUUCUUCUAGUUGCUCCAAAAAGUGUAUAAUUCUUCUAGUUGCUCCAAAAAGUGUAAAAUUCUUCUAGUUGCUCCAAAAAGUGCACAAUUGCUCCAAAAACGAUUAAAACAAUGCGAAAUACUUGAGUGCUAUAAUUCCCUAAACUGAAAUCAAUGGAUUCUAGUCAAAUUGGAUUGUUAACGGAUUGUUUAAGCGACCUAUUUUAAAGUGACAUUAGAAAUUCAUUUCUACAGCAAAGGUUUGCUUAAAAAAACGUUAACAUUGCUUUAUUUAAAUUUUUAAACAAAUCUCCUAAAUGUACUUUUUGUCAGAUUGAUUAAUGAUGUAAUCUCAUUACAGGUAUUCUAGUAAUUAAUUAGGUAUUCAAUUAAUUAGUUAGUUUGCCAUUACGCAAUAUUACAUAUUAUGAUAAACGAACGAAGACGACAGAAAUUUUUAUAACCAUGGGUAAAAUCUUCAUAAUAUUUUGCGGCAUUAGCGCAGCUCGGAUUUUAAGUCAUAGGUUUACAAAGGAUUAAAGUCGGUUUCACCAUAGUAAAAGUUUUAGACACAGUAAAAUGGGGUCGGCUCCCCGGCACCCCCCCCCCAUUCAUUGAAAAAAAAGUUCGGAUAAAUUUAAUUUAACUAUUGUUUGACGUGUUUUAAAGAAAAUAUGCAUAUCAAACUUUCUUAAUGAAUUAAGUUAAGAGAUUUAAAUUUAAAUUAUGUAAAACUUAAUUGUUCUUAUGUAUUUGUUUUUAUAUACAUAUUAUAUCAGAGCCAUAUGUUAAUGGUUUAGAAACAAAUAAAUUUCUUCAAAUCA